GGUCCGAUGGUGUAGUUGGUUAUCACACUCGCUUCACACGCGAGAGGUCACGAGUUCGAGCCUCGCUCGGAUCA
rnacentral:tRNA from 1 species